UACUCGAGUGGCGAACGGGUGAGUAACACGUGGGUGAUCUGCCCUGCACUUCGGGAUAAGCUUGGGAAACUGGGUCUAAUACCGGAUAGGAGCCAUCUUUAGUGUGGUGGUUGGAAAGUUUUUUCGGUGUAGGAUGAGCUCGCGGCCUAUCAGCUUGUUGGUGGGGUAAUGGCCUACCAAGGCGGCGACGGGUAGCCGACCUGAGAGGGUGUACGGCCACAUUGGGACUGAGAUACGGCCCAG
rnacentral:rRNA from 1 species